GUGGGGAAUUUUGGACAAUGGGCGAAAGCCUGAUCCAGCAAUGCCGCGUGUGUGAAGAAGGCCUUCGGGUUGUAAAGCACUUUUGUCCGGAAAGAAAUCCUUUGGGUUAAUACCUCGGAGGGAUGACGGUACCGGAAGAAUAAGGACCGGCUAACUACGUGCCAGCAGCCGCGGUAAUACGUAGGGUCCGAGCGUUAAUCGGAAUUACUGGGCGUAAAGCGUGCGCAGGCGGUUUUGUAAGACAGAUGUGAAAUCCCCGGGCUUAACCUGGGAAUUGCAUUUGUGACUGCAAGGCUAGAGUGUGUCAGAGGGGGGUAGAAUUCCACGUGUAGCAGUGAAAUGCGUAGAGAUGUGGAGGAAUACCGAUGGCGAAGGCAGCCCCCUGGGAUAACACUGACGCUCAUGCACGAAAGCGUGGGGAGCAAACAGGAUUAGAAACCCUAGUAGUCC
rnacentral:rRNA from 1 species